rnacentral:rRNA from 1 species
UAAUACUUGGGCAAUCUGCCCUUGAGUGGGGGACAACCUGCCGAAAGGCGGGCUAAUACCCCAUAAGACCACGGGGAUGCAUAUUCCAGAGGUCAAAGCUCCGCAAGGGGCGCUUGAGGAGGAGCCCGAGUCCUAUCAUGGUAGUUGGCGGGGUAAUGGCCCACCAAGCCGUUGGCGGGUAGCCGGCCUGAAAGGGCAAUCGGCCACACUGGCACUGAGACACGGGCCAG